AGAACGAACGCUGGCGGCAGGCUUAACACAUGCAAGUCGAGCGCCCCGCAAGGGGAGCGGCAGACGGGUGAGUAACGCGUGGGAACAUACCCUCCGGUUCGGAAUAGCUCAGGGAAACUUGGAUUAAUACCGGAUACGGCCUAGCGGCGAAAGAUUGAUCGCCGGAGGAUUGGCCCGCGUCUGAUUAGUUAGUUGGCGGGGUAAUGGCCCACCAAGACGAUGAUCGGUAUCC
rnacentral:rRNA from 1 species